CCUACGGGAGGCAGCAGUAAGGGAUAUUGGUCAAUGGGGGAAACCCUGAACCAGCAACGCCGCGUGAGGGAAGACGGUUUUCGGAUUGUAAACCUCUGUCCUCUGUGAAGAUGAUGACGGUAGCAGAGGAGGAAGCUCCGGCUAACUACGUGCCAGCAGCCGCGGUAAUCCGUAGGGAGCGAGCGUGGUCCGGAUUUACUGGGUGUAAGGGGUGCGUAGGCGGCUUGGCAAGUCAGUAGUGAAAUCCAUGGGCUUAACCCAUGAACUGCUAUUGAAACUGUCGAGCUUGAGUGAAGUAGAGGUAGGCGGAAUUCGCGGUGUAGCGGUGAAAUGCGUAGAGAGCGGGAGGAAGAGCAGUGGCGAAGGCGGCCUACUGGGCUUUAACUGACGCGGAGGCUGGAAAGCGUGGGGAGCAAACAGGAUUAGAGACCCUUGUAGUG
rnacentral:rRNA from 1 species